UACGUAGGGGGCAAGCGUUGUCCGGAAUCAUUGGGCGUAAAGAGCGUGUAGGCGGCCCGGUAAGUCCGCCGUGAAAGUCCAGGGCUCAACCCUGGAAUGCCGGUGGAAACUGCCGGGCUGGAGUCCGGAAGAGGCGAGUGGAAUUCCUGGUGUAGCGGUGAAAUGCGCAGAUAUCAGGAGGAACACCAGCGGCGAAGGCGCCGCUCUGGGCCGUAACUGACGCUGAGGAGCGAAAGCAUGGGUAGCAAACAGG
rnacentral:rRNA from 1 species